rnacentral:miRNA from 1 species
CAGCCCUCCCCGGGCCGCGCUGCUGCCUGGGCGCGGCGGCGGCGGCGGCGGCGGCGGCGGCGGCAGCGGCGGCGGCGCC